rnacentral:rRNA from 1 species
UAAAAUCAAAUAGACACUUAGCUUCUUAAAUGGACAAAUUGUGUCUAACAAUAUGAGAUUGAGCAAUAACAGGUCUGUGAUGCCCUUAGAUGUCCUGGGCUGCACGCGCGCUACAAUGAAGGUAUCAACGUGUAUUUCCUAGGCCGAGAGGUCCGGGUAAACCGCUGAACCACCUUCUUGCUUGGGAUUGUGAACUGAAACUGUUCACAUGAACCUGGAAUUCCCAGUAAGUGCGAGUCAUUAACUCGCAUUGAUUACGUCCCUGCCCUUUGUACACACCGCCCGUCGCUACUACCGAUUGAAUUGUUUAGUGAGGUCUCCGGACGUGAUCGCUG